UACGAAGGGGGCUAGCGUUGUUCGGAAUUACUGGGCGUAAAGGGCGCGUAGGCGGCACAGCAAGUCGGGAGUGAAAGCCCGGGGCUCAACCCCGGAAUGGCUUUCGAAACUGCUGAGCUAGAGUACAGAAGGGGCAACCGGAAUUCCCAGUGUAGCGGUGAAAUGCGUAGAUAUUGGGAAGAACACCUGAGGCGAAGGCGGGUUGCUGGGCUGAUACUGACGCUGAGGCGCGAAAGCCAGGGGAGCAAACGGG
rnacentral:rRNA from 1 species